CAUGAUGCCCUCAGUGUUAGAGACAGCAUCUAUUGAGAGAACCCUGCUGAAGACUUGAACUCAGGCUAAGAUGCUAUUUAUCAAACUAAAUGUCGUGUAAAUAGAAAUGCAUUCCUCGAUGGUGGUACUAUUGUUUAACCUUUAUUUAACUGGGCAAGUCAGUUAAAAACAAAUUCAUAUUUACAAUGACGGCCGACCGGGGAACAGUGGGUUAACUGGUCUAGGAACAGUGGGUUAACUGGUCUAGGAACUGUGGGUUAACUGGUCUAGGAACAGUGGAACAGUGGGUUAACUGGUCUAGGAACAGUGGGUUAACUGGUCUAGGAACAGUGGGUUAACUGGUCUAGGAACAGUGGGUUAACUGGUCUAGGAACAGUGGGUUAACUGGUCUAGGAACAGUGGGUUAACUGGUCUAGGAACAGUGGGUUAACUGGUCUAGGAACAGUGGGUUAACUGGUCUAGGAACAGUGGCAGAACGACUGAUUUUAACCUUGUUCAGCUCGGGGAUUCGAUCCAGCAACCUUUCGGUUACUUGCCCAUCUCUCUAACCACUAGGCUACCUGCCUCCCAAGCAGUAUGAUUGAUUCACCAUCAGGUUUUUAAAAAUUCUGAGUGUUAUAUUUAUUGAAUUGAUCUGAUGAGUAUUGUAGAUGUGUGGAAACAGGAGAGGCAGGGCUGUGGUCAGAGGAUGUUUCUGACAGACAGGAGGUUGUAGAUGUGGAGAGGCAGGGCUGUGGUCAGAGGAUGUUUCUGACAGACAGGAGGUUUUAGAUGUGGAGAGGCAGGGCUGUGGUCAGAGGAUGUUUCUGACAGACAGGAGGUUUUAGAUGUGGAGAGGCAGGGCUGUGGUCAGAGGAUGUUUCUGACAGACAGGAGGUUUUAGAUGUGGAGAGGCAGGGCUGUGGUCAGAGGAUGUUUCUGACAGACAGGAGGUUGUAGAUGUGGAGAGGCAGGGCUGUGGUCAGAGGAUGUUUCUGACAGACAGGAGGUUUUAGAUGUGGAGAGGCAGGGCUGUGGUCAGAGGAUGUUUCUGACAGACAGGAGGUUUUAGAUGUGGAGAGGCAGGGCUGUGGUCAGAGGAUGUUUCUGACAGACAGGAGGUUUUAGAUGUGGAGAGGCAGGGCUGUGGUCAGAGGAUGUUUCUGACAGACAGGAGGUUUUAGAUGUGGAGAGGCAGGGCUGUGGUCAGAGGAUGUUUCUGACAGACAGGAGGUUGUAGAUGUGGAGAGGCAGGGCUGUGGUCAGAGGAUGUUUCUGACAGACAGAAGGUUGUAGAUGUGGAGAGGCAGGGCUGUGGUCAGAGGAUGUUUCUGACAGUUGAAAAGGUAAAAGGUUCCCUACAUAUUCCGGGUGUUUCUGUUCUGUUUGAAUCUGGAUUCUUUGCAGAGGGGAAGUGACCCGAAGAUGUUGCUGUAGCCUCCGUUUGCACUGGGAGGAGGCAGAAAGGCAUCGUAUCUGCUGUCCAAUGAGAUUCGAGCAGAAAUCAUCUGAUACCCAAUGAUAUUAGAUCUAUAUUUGUGUGGAAUAAUUCAGGAAGGACCCCUUGACUUUGUCCACAUUUUGUUGUGUUACAGCCUGAAUUUUAAAAUGGAUUAAAUUAAUUGUGUUUGUCACUGUCCUCAAUACUCUAUAAUGUCAACGUGGAGGUGUGUUUUCAGAAAUGUUUACAAAUUAAUAAAAAAUGAAAAGCUUAA